UGAAGUUGACGGGCCCGCACAAGCAGCGGAGCGUGUGGUUUAAUUCGAUGUUACACGAAGAACCUUACCAGGGUUUGACAUGCAAGUGGUAGGAAGCCGAAAGGUGACCGACCCUUCGGGAGCUUGCACAGGUGCUGCAUGGCUGUCGUCAGCUCGUGUCGUGAGAUGUUCGGUUAAGUCCGCUAACGAGCGCAACCCUCGCUGUGUGUUAUAUGUGUCACACGGGACUGCCGGUCUUAAGCCGGAGGAAGGUGGGGAUGAUGUCAAGUCAGCAUGGCCUUUAUAUCCUGGGCUACACACACGCUACAAUGGCCACCACAAUAGGUUGCUAAGCCGCGAGGUGGCGCCAAUCCAUAAAGUUGGUCUCAGUUCAGAUUGUAGGCUGCAACCCGCCUGCAUGAAGAUGGAGUUGCUAGUAACCGCAGGUCAGCUAUACUGCGGUGAAUACGUUCCCGGGGCUU
rnacentral:rRNA from 1 species